rnacentral:lncRNA from 1 species
UUUAACUAACACAUAUUUUAUGCAUUAGAAAUUAUAUUUGGUUAUUUUUUCAGGAAGUGUAUUUUUUACAUUAUUUAAUUCCUCAGUUAAUUAAUUUUUACAUUUGGCUCUUUUCUGAUACAUUCAAGAAGAAAUAUAUAUAUUCCUCAUAGUAAAUCUUAGGCCUUGUAUUUCCAAGGUCUUACUGUGAUUUUUACCUUGAAUAAUUACUGAUAUUUCUUCAUGGUUUAAUUUUUGUGUAUUUCUGUGAAGAGCAGCCUUGGUUUUGGAUGCCAUGAAAGGUUUAUUAUAUUGCACCUACUUUAUAUUUUUAAUCAUUCAUAUUGAUUGAUAAUCUGUCCAUUGCAGAAAUGAGGAGUUUCCAAAAAGUUUAUGGAAAUAUGUAUUAUAAAAAAAACUAUGCAUAAAUUUCAACUUUUUGCACAAAAAUAAAUGUAUACUAGCUUGUUAUAACAUGUCUAAACAGGAUCCAGUUGAAGGCACUGAGAAGAAUAAGACAUCAGUUUGAAAAGAGCCUCUAUUAAAGCAACUUGAAUUAUGCUAAAAUUGAAGUAAGAACAAACAUCAAAUGUAUGGUGAAGCUUGGGUAGAAGAAUGGUAUAAUUGCUGAUGCUCUACAAAAAGUUUAUGGGGAUAAUGUCACAAAGAAAUGAGCAGUUUACGGCCAGGCAUAGUGGCUUGCACCUGUAAUCCUGGCACUUUGGGAGGCCGAGGCAGGCGGAUCACGAAGUCAAGUGAUUGAGACCAGCCUUGCCAACAUAAUGAAACCCCGCCUCUACUAAAAAUACAAAAAAUUAGCCGGGCAUAGUGGCGGGCGCCUGUAGUCCCAGCUACUCGGGAGGCUGAGGCAGGAGAAUGGCGUGAACCCGGGAGGCGGAGCUUGCAGUGAGCCGAGAUCCCGCCACUGCACUCCAGCCUGGGCGACAGAGCGAGACUCCGUCUC